rnacentral:rRNA from 1 species
UUACCAGACUCCUACGGGAGGCAGCAGUGGGGAAUAUUGGACAAUGGGGGGAACCCUGAUCCAGCGACGCCGCGUGAGUGAAGAAGUAUUUCGGUAUGUAAAGCUCUAUCAGCAGGGAAGAAAGAAAUGACGGUACCUGACUAAGAAGCCCCGGCUAACUACGUGCCAGCAGCCGCGGUAAUACGUAGGGGGCAAGCGUUAUCCGGAUUUAUUGGGUUUAAAGGGUGCGCAGGCGGAGGUGCAAGUCAGCGGUCAAAUUGCGGGGCUCAACCCCGUACUGCCGUUGAAACUGCAUCCCUUGAGUGCGCGAGAAGUAUGCGGAAUGCGUGGUGUAGCGGUGAAAUGCAUAGAUAUCGCGCAGAACUCCGAUUGCGAAGGCAGCAUGCCGGCUCCACACUGACGCUGAGGCGCGAAAGCGUGGGUAUCGAACAGGAUUAGAUACCCCUGUA